rnacentral:rRNA from 1 species
CGAGCGUUAUCCGGAAUUACUGGGUUUAAAGGGUGCGUAGGCGGCUUUGUAAGUCAGGAGUGAAAGUUUGCGGCUCAACCGUAAAAUUGCUUCUGAUACUGCAUGGCUAGAAUUAGGAUGAGGUCAGCGGAAUGUGGCAUGUAGCGGUGAAAUGCAUAGAUAUGCCAUAGAACACCAAUUGCGAAGGCAGCUGACUAGACCUGGAUUGACGCUGAGGCACGAAAGCGUGGGGAGCGAACAGG